CACAAAAAUAUUUACCUGUUAAAGACUAUUAUGUUUCCAUCUGUAUAAUCAGUUGUGGGUGCACAAUUUGAAAUUAUUUUUUGAAGUGAACAGUUAUUUAUGAAAGACUGGAGUGAGAUGUACUAAAUAGCUUUAAAACUAAAUAUAUUUUUCACAUGAACUCUUAAAGUUCUGAGUGUAAUACAAUAUCGGAUGAGUGGGUAUUAAACCAGCAUGCGUGCCCUUAUUUACGGACCAAAGUUUUUACAGAAAGUCUAGGAACAAUAAAAAGUCUAUAAAAGUGAGAUCCUCAUAGUUAUGAUGUAAUUUUUUUUAACAGUAGCCUCCUAUUAGAAUUAAAUUUUGUCAAGGCCCUAUGUGCCAUCUUUCGUGAUUAUUGGCCAUAUGUACCACUGUUGAGUAAUACACUUUACCGUUUCUUAAGUUCAGUUCAACCAAAUACAUUUCUCACUUGACAAGUAUUUUUUUUUUAAACUGUUGCUGGUGGUUGAAAACUAGUUUUACAUAAUGCUAUUGUUUGUAAAAUGAAAUUACAUCUUGCUACAGGGCUUCACCUCAGUACUUUCUUUAGUAAGGAUCUUACGCAACUUUAGUUCGAGUAAAAUGUUUCCAGUUACAUUUGGUGUUUAAAAAAAGAAAGUUUUAUCCCAAUGUUAUUGGUAUCAUUUGCAACAUUAUAUUUUGGAAAUUGUUUCCAGGUAAACAAUCUGAAACAAUUUCUUAAUAAUAAUGUUGCAAUUGAUUAGAAACACAUUGGGUUAGAACAUUCUAUAUUUUUUAUAACACCCAAUGUAACUGGAAACAUUUUACUCGAACUAAAGUUGCGUAAGAUCCUUACUAAAGAAAGUACUGAAGUGAAGCCUUGUAGCAAGAUGUAAUUUUAUUUCACAAACAAUAACACUCUGUAAAAAUAGUUUUCAACCACCAGUAACAGUUUUCUAAAAAUAUACUUGCCAAGUCAGAAAAAUAUUUGGUUGAACUGUAAUUCAGAAACGGUAAAGUGUAUUACUCAAAAGUGGUAUGGCCAAUGUUCAUCAAACUUGGCAAAUAGGUUGUACUUAAUGUUAAGCAUUAAAAAUUUAGUAAUAAUUUGUUUCUCUGUUUAUCACAGCUAUGACCUCAACCUCAUCAACCUACCCCAACCCACAGCUCAAUAUCACUCCUAACUUUCAACCUCAACUUCAAGCAAUCCCAGCACUUUUACAAUACCAAAUGAAUUGUCAUUAAAUUUUUGUGUUUGUCUUAUAUUUCCUGUUUUUUAUUAUUUUGUUUUUGGUUAUUUAAGCUUUGUGCAUUUGCUCAUUUUGAAAUCGUUAAUGAAAUUUCUCUGUAUACCUUA